GAAUAUCUAGUCUCUGAAAUGCAAAAUAACCACAAAGUGGGUCAUGCAUUAGAUGGAACUAAGAAUUUUCUUUGCCAACUCCUUGUUUGCACACCAAAAUGUUACAAAGGGAGUUACAAAAGAGUUUCGUUUUACUUUGCAUUGCUGUUAGAUCAUUUAGUGCUCUGGAUUCCAAAUUCUAAUCACACAAUAUUUGCCUGUAGCCAUCCAGACUCCAUCAAAUCAAUCUUAACAGCAGCCCGUCCAGCGAUCUAUUCAGAUAUAUCAAGAAUCUAUGAGACACACUGUAAUUAUCUGUUAAUUUUAAACCUUAUGAUGCUCGACUGCUCAAUCGUCUUCUCCGCUCCACCCAUGGAGCUGGAUUAGCAUCUAGAUGUCACAAAAUGAUGGGGCUCACCUACGGGAAAUGGUCCAUGAAGACACAAGCUGAUAUGUCCUGUAUCUACUGAUCACUCUGGCUCGAUUGACAUUUCAGUCCCUUUGUCUGCGACUGUCUACGAUGAAACGGAAGGGAAAUUUCUAAACUUGGCAGUGAUGACAUUUGGAUGAAUGGAGCUGGCUUUGCAUCAGGUGACUGGAAAUAUUCAAUCGUUUCACAGCACUGCACUUUUAGUGCUGUCCACUGCAACUAAAGCAAAAUUUAGUUUUAAAAUGACAGACAGUAUUAAUAAUAAAUAUUUGUUUUUUACUUUUUUUUCUUUUAUUCCACAAUAUUCUGCAGUAAGUACAUCUUAUAUUGGUAAUGAGACUUUCAAAGCCCUACUGCCUUUUCAGUGUCAGUUGAACUUGCUUUGAACCUCUACCCUCUUAAGGAAAAAGCAAUAUCAUGUUUAUCUGUGUAAUCUCGGUGUUCACACUUUGUGUACGUGUGAGUUUAACACACUCCCAGUGUUUUCACCUUUUGCUGAAUUCACUGUACGUUGCUUGGAGAUACUGCUGUGUCAUGUGGCCACUGAUAGAUGGUGACGAGAAAUGGGAGAUAGCCAAUGUCAGAUGUGACCUAAAUGUUAAACAUUACAUAUAUUAAAUCAAUGUUUUGGGUCAAUUCUGUUUAUUCCUUGCUCCUUACUUUUGACAGGAAUUAAAACUAGGCUGUGAGGUAUAGAAGUACAAUGCGUUCAAUGGACUGUACUCUUGUUGAACAACAUACCGACUGUUCGGCUAAUGAACCGUCUUUCUGAGGAAAAAAAAAUUAAAUUAAGCAAUCUAGGACCUUUAUACAGUGCGUGCCAUUUUCAAGCCAAGUUUUCAUCAGCGUCAAAAUCAGUAUGGCGUCUAACCUGAUUACAAUCUUUUUACUCAAGACUUUAAAAGAACAUCCUGGAAACUCUUUUCGAUAUAAUUAAAGUGAAUGAGAACUGGGACUGUGAUGAUGUUCUUAUUUAGAAUGUCCUUCAAAAUUCCUCCUUUUGUGUUCCACAGAAUAAAACCCAUAGCUACCGUUUUGGAACGACACGAUGGUGAGCAAAAUGAUAACAGUUACAGAAUUGCCCAUUUUUAGCGAACUAUCCCUUUAAAUGUCUUCAGUAGUAUUUGUUUGCUGUAUCUCAAUUGUGUUAUUAUUCCCCUCAGAGACGUUGUUUUAUGCAUAUACUUUGCGUUGCAUUCACAUAAUUGUCAUCUGAAGAAGGAUUUUAGGGAUUUUUCUCUGUUUACCUCGAGCCGCCUUAGUGUUAGCUAUUCCUUUGUUGUCGGACCUUGCAUUCACAUAAUUGUCAUCUGAAGAAGGAUUUUUAGGGAUUUUUCUCUGUUUACCUCGAGCCGCCUUAGUGUAGCAUUCCUUUGUUGUCGGACCUUGAAAGGGAAUGUAAAUGGUUGCAUUUGAGGAUUAGAGACAGGGAUUUGUUUAGAGCAGCAGCAUGAGAUAGAUGGCAGUGCUGUGUUCCGUUUGCCGCGCGACGGCUGUGCACUCGCCGUGAGGUGAUGCUUCCUCUUAUGACGCACUAGCCGGUACGCUGACGCGCUCUCUGAGAUUACAGUCACUGAGGUAAAUGUAGGAAAGAACGCCAGGCACUGUCAACAACAGCGAGUGCGUGGGCGUGGAUGGCGAGAUACACACACGGGACUAGCGCGGUUUAUGAACCCCACGAAGGGAUGAAUAACAAUAAAUCCGUCUUUUGAUAACUUUGGCUUUCUCUCUACCUUCCAGCCGAAAGUGAGUCACCGUGAGAGAUGUGUAAAUGUCAAGGGAAUUAGCUGCCGCUGCCGCUGCCUUAUUUACCGGCACCCACGGACAAACCGCUAACAAUAGCUGCGAUAAGACAGGUUAAAGAACUUUACAGAGAGAGAGAGAGAGAGAGAGAGAGAGAGAGAGAGAGAGAGACGAGAGAGAGAGGAGAACCUUUACACUCCUUCUCCUGCUGGGGGAAACAGAACAAACGUGUUUCUCGUGUCUCUCAUUGUAAACACAUACCUGGAACAUCAUAAUGUAUCACAAUAGACUCGCACGCGUGCUUUUAUUAAUGCUUUCAGUUGCAUUAGGCAAUGUCACCAUGACAAAUCACGUAUGUAAACAGUACUUUGAACAAUAGUAACAAUAUGCAUUAGGCCACUUGGGAUGCAAAGUAGUUGGGUUUUCAGAAUGUCUUUAUAAUUUAAACAUAAAUCUGACUAAAUGUUUUAAACAAAUUAUUAAAACGAGAGAAAAAAACUAGUUGGCAUUUAUUAUUUCUUUACUAAUAUUCAGUUUUUAUAUGAAAAUAUUUUAAAU
rnacentral:lncRNA from 1 species